rnacentral:rRNA from 1 species
CACGCGGUAAACGAUGAGUGCUAGGUGUAGCGGGUAUCGACCCCUGCUGUGCCGGAGUUAACACAAUAAGCACUCCGCCUGGGGAGUACGGCCGCAAGGUUGAAACUCAAAGGAAUUGACGGGGGCCCGCACAAGCAGCGGAGCAUGUGGUUUAAUUCGAAGCAACGCGAAGAACCUUACCAGGUCUUGACAUCGAGGCAAAGCCGUAGAGAUACGGUGUUCAGCAAUGAAGCCGAAGACAGGUGGUGCAUGGUUGUCGUCAGCUCGUGUCGUGAGAUGUUGGGUUAAGUCCCGCAACGAGCGCAACCCUUAUUGUCAGUUACUAACGGGUAGAGCCGAGGACUCUGACGAGACUGCCGGGGACAACUCG